rnacentral:rRNA from 1 species
UCGGCAAUGGACGAAAGUCUGACCGAGCAACGCCGCGUGAGUGAAGAAGGUUUUCGGAUCGUAAAGCUCUGUUGUAAGUCAAGAACGUGUGUGAGAGUGGAAAGUUCACACAGUGACGGUAGCUUACCAGAAAGGGACGGCUAACUACGUGCCAGCAGCCGCGGUAAUACGUAGGUCCCGAGCGUUGUCCGGAUUUAUUGGGCGUAAAGGGAGCGCAGGCGGUCAGGAAAGUCUGGAGUAAAAGGCUAUGGCUCAACCAUAGUGUGCUCUGGAAACUGUCUGACUUGAGUGCAGAAGGGGAGAGUGGAAUUCCAUGUGUAGCGGUGAAAUGCGUAGAUAUAUGGAGGAACACCAGUGGCGAAAGCGGCUCUCUGGUCUGUCACUGACGCUGAGGCUCGAAAGCGUGGGUAGCGAACAGGAUUAGAUACCCUGGUAGUCCACGCCGUAAACGAUGAGUGCUAGGUGUUAGGCCCUUUCCGGGGCUUAGUGCCGGAGCUAACGCAAUAAGCACUCCGCCUGGGGAGUACGACCGCAAGGUUGAAACUCAAAGGAAUUGACGGGGGCCCGCACAAGCG